rnacentral:rRNA from 1 species
AAAAAGCGGAGGAAAAGAAACCAACAGGGAUUGCCCUAGUAACGGCGAGUGAAGCGGCAACAGCUCAAAUUUGAAAGCUAGCCUUCGGGUUCGCAUUGUAAUUUGUAGAGGAUGAUUUGGGGAAGCCGCCUGUCUAAGUUCCUUGGAACAGGACGUCAUAGAGGGUGAGAAUCCCGUAUGUGACAGGAAAUGGCACCCUAUGUAAAUCUCCUUCGACGAGUCGAGUUGUUUGGGAAUGCAGCUCUAAAUGGGAGGUAAAUUUCUUCUAAAGCUAAAUAUUGGCGAGAGACCGAUAGCGCACAAGUAGAGUGAUCGAAAGAUGAAAAGCACUUUGGAAAGAGAGUUAAAAAGCACGUGAAAUUGUUGAAAGGGAAGCGCUUGCAAUCAGACUUGUUUAAACUGUUCGGCCGGUCUUCUGACCGGUUUACUCAGUUUGGACAGGCCAGCAUCAGUUUCGGCGGCCGGAUAAAGGCUCUGGGAAUGUGGCCUCCACUUCGGUGGAGGUGUUAUAGCCCAGGGUGUAAUACGGCCAGCCGGGACUGAGGUCCGCGCUCGGCUAGGAUGCUGCGUAAGCGACUU